GAUGAAGAACGCAGUGAAAUGCGAUAAGUAGUGUGAAUUGCAGAAUUCAGUGAAUCAUCGAAUCUUUGAACGCACAUUGCGCCCUUUGGUAUUCCAAAGGGCAUGCCUGUUCGAGCGUCAUUACAACCCUCAGGCCCCCGGGCCUGGCGUUGGGGAUCGGCGGAAGCCCCCUGCGGGCACAACGCCGUCCCCCAAAUACAGUGGCGGUCCCGCCGCAGCUUCCAUUGCGUAGUAGCUAACACCUCGCAACUGGAGAGCGGCGCGGCCACGCCGUAAAACACCCAACUUCUGAAUGUUGACCUCGAAUCAGGUAGGAAUACCCGCUGAACUUAAGCAUAUCAAUAAGCGGAGGA
rnacentral:misc_RNA from 1 species